AUGGCGGGUUCGGCGGAGGGGAAGAAGGGCGGGGUGCUGCAGGGGCGCUACGAGAUGGGCCGCGUGCUCGGCCACGGCAACUUCGGGCGGGUGCACAUCGCGCGGGACCUGAGGACCGGGCGGGCCGUGGCGGUCAAGGUGGUUGCCAAGGACAAGGUGGUGCGCGCCGGCAUGGUGGAGCAGAUCAAGCGGGAGAUCGCCGUCAUGAAGCGGGUCUCCCACCCCAACAUCGUCGAGCUCCACGAGGUCAUGGCCACGCGCUCCAAGAUCUACCUCGCCCUCGAGCUCGUCCGCGGCGGGGAGCUCUUCUCGCGGAUCGAGCGCUCCGGCCGCGUCACGGAGGACGUCGCGCGCCGCUACUUCCGCCAGCUCAUCUCCGCCGUCGACUUCUGCCAUGCCCGCGGCGUCUACCACCGCGACCUCAAGCCGGAGAACCUGCUCCUCGACGAGGCGGGGAACCUCAAGGUCGUCGAUUUCGGCCUCAGCGCGCUCGCCGACCACGCCCGCGCCGACGGGCUUCUCCACACCCUCUGCGGCACGCCGGGCUAUGCUGCGCCGGAGGUGCUCCGUGACAAGGGCUACGACGGCGCAAAGGCCGACCUCUGGUCCUGCGGCGUCAUCCUCUACGUGCUCCUCGCCGGAUCCCUCCCGUUCCCGGACGACAACGUUGUUACCAUGUACAAGAAGGCGCAGCGCGGUGACUACCGAUGCCCGCCGUGGUUCUCGACGGAUGCGCGCAGGCUCAUUCCCAAACUGCUCGACCCCGACCCCGACACCCGCAUCACCGUCGCGCAGCUCGUGGAGACGCCGUGGUUCAAGAAGGCGUCCAUCGCCAAGCCCCUAAGUCUUGAGCCGCCAGCAUGCGUGAAGGAUGCCGGCGACAAGGACGAACCCGAGGCGCUGAACGCGUUCCAUCUGAUAUCCCUCUCCGAGGGAUUCGACCUCUCGCCACUGUUCGAGGGCCACCCGGCAAGCCGGCGGCUGGAGGGCGGCAUGCGGUUCGCGACGCGGGAGCCAGCACGGGGCGUGGUCUCCCGUCUCGAGGAGGUCGCUGCGCGUGGAGGCGGGCGGAUGCGGGUGACCAAGAGCAGCCCGGGGGGCGUGCGCCUGGAGGGCGCGGAACGCGGCGGGCGCAAGGGCCGGCUCGCCGUGGCCGCCGAGAUAUUCAGCGUGGCUCCUUCGGUGCUCGUGGUCGACGUCAAGAAGGACGGCGGCGACACCCUCGAGUACCUCUCGUUCUGCUGUGACGAGCUCCGGCCAGCCCUCCAGGACAUUGUCUGGGCUGCCGACCCUCCGGCGUCUGUCGCCAUCGCCGUCUGA
rnacentral:rRNA from 1 species